GCUCGCUUCGGCAGCGCAUGCGCUAAAAUUGGAAUGACACAGAGAAGAUGAGCAUGGCCGCUGUGCGAGGGUGGCAUGCAAAUUUGUGAAGCGUUCCAUAUUUUU